UGGGGUGACUCCCUCUUGGGGAUGCCCUUGCAGGCUUCCCCGCUGUCUACCGGGAGCAGGGCGAGUUGCAGGGGCUCAGGUUACCAUCACGAGCCCCAUCAGGCUGGCCCGGGGCUGCCACCUCUUCCAAGAAGCUGGCUUUUGAGGAAUCUGUUGGCCUGGGAAUCAUGACAUGCGCCUGGCUUGGUGCUGAGCAAACGUGCACCUAACACCCCGGAGGACACUCUCUUCCUCACAGCAUGUUCUCGCGUUUAUGGGCAUCAGGUGGUGUGCAGAGGGCUCCACACCCAGAUGUUCGCACCCUGUGAGGUCAGCUGAGAAACAAGAGCCGCCACCACCCGGCUGGCUGCCACUGCCCCUCUUCCUAGGAGCUGCAGGCCCAGCCUCCUCUACCCCAGACCAGAACAUUCUGCUGCCAGCAGAAACACACAUGGAGCCGGUGCUGCCACCCCACCCCUGCCGUCAACACACUCCCACAUGCUGUUUGCCGCUGUCAAAGCUGUGCUCACGCACACAUUCUCAGCAGACCCUGCCAGCACAGCUGUCCCCGUGGCCCAGGCUCCAUCUCAGCACAUGCGUGUCCUCUGUGGGGGUUUCUCAACGCACCCAAAGCACUUGUGGACCCGGCCUGCACACGCUCUUCCCUCUGACCUGGGUAGGCUACUGUGUGACCUUGGGCAAUCAGCUCAACCUCUCUGGGCAUCAGAGGCCUCACUGUAGAACAGGGAUAAUGAUUACCUCCAGAAGGUAAUUACAUGUCGCCUCCUUCAGGGCUUUAUAGCCUCUCUGAGGGCUUUUCCCACAGGGUCCGAGGCUUAGGUGAGAGAGCAGGCACCCAGCGCGGGUUCAGUCACAGAGCUGUGAAGGUGGCGGUGAGGGUGGACUGGCCAUCGGUUUUCUGUCCAUCACCUGGCUGUCAGCACUGCCUCACGGCCACAGCUUGAGCCGGACACCCCACCUGCCCUCUCCCCUAUCAGUGCAGUGGGUCCAACAACCCUCAGCCUGCGGUGAAAGGCCCAGGGAGACACUGCCAUGGUGUCUGGGAGUUCUGUCUGUCCUGCCACAGCUGCACAGGGAAGGAAGGCAACAGCUGAACCCGGGCACUUGUAGCCACUUCUAGCUUCCUGCUGUCCCAGGUCAGCGGCCGAGUCCAUGUUUCUGGACUGACUGGGUUAUGCAGCUGCCAUCCCACCACGAGGCCGCACUGCCAUCUCAGCCACACCCAGGACCUGGCCACGCUGUGACCACCCCUUCCCUCAGGCACAGGGCCUCUUCCCAGCAGGACCCCUCCGCCGCGGUGAUGGCCUGACCCUUUGCUCCCUGCUUCCCCUCACUGGACAGGGCUCCCGUCCCACUCCCCAGUCCCUUCCAGGACUCUGCCUAGCAGUAGCCCUCCCGCAUUGUCCCCAACGUGCCUUCCCUUUGGCCAGCAAAAUAGGGCUGGUCUUUUCUAUUCUGGGAAGCAGAGAGGUAGCCUCAGCAGGGUCAGAAAACCAGUGUGAUUUGAGGAUUGAGAGACGUCUGGUCUGAGCAGGAGAGUGGGCUGCCACCGAGCAGCAGGGCCAGCGGCUGAGCACCAAUCAGGCCAUUCCCACGAGCGCCUACUGCCUGAGGCCUGGUGGAGCUACGUGGCAUGGCUGGCAGGACCAGGCUGGUCUCUGCCCAAAGUCGUGGUUUCCUCCUUUUCCAUCCUAGAAGGAAUUCCAAGCUCUGGCCACCACUGGGAGCCCACUGGAGGUCUAUCUGUUGGCUCAAGAAAACUGUGGUCAAUUGACUGCCCUGCUCCUUGGGGACCUUGACCAAGAAUAAUGUGGAAACCCACCGACCCUGUGUCUGAAGUCCCCAGAAUUAUAAAAUAUGUUAGUUAAUAAGCUGUCGUGUAAAAUAAGUUUGGUCGUCCACCUUCCCCAAUACACCUUCAGAAUGACCUGGA